ACGCUCGACACCUACGAGAGGCAGCAGUGGGGAAUAUUGCACAAUGGGGGAAACCCUGAUGCAGCGACGCCGCGUGGAGGAAGAAGGUCUUCGGAUUGUAAACUCCUGUUGUUGGGGAAAAAGAGGAUGGUACCCAACAAGGAAGUGACGGCUAACUACGUGCCAUCAGCCGCGGUAAUCUGAGCGGGCUGGCAAGGC
rnacentral:rRNA from 1 species